UAUUAUUAUUAUUAUUAUUAUUAUUAUUAUUAUUAUUAUUAUUAUUGGCUGCCACAAACACACCGACACACAAAACAACAGGCAAAAAAACUAGGAAAAAUCCCUGUCCGGAAAACACGCCCAGCGAGUGCCGGCGUUAGACUGCAGAAAAUAAUUUCCUUAGGAGAUCUGAAGCCUCCGAUGCGGUUUUACCAUUUCUAUCUUCCACACCACCCUGCAGGGUAGGCUGGCUUUGUAAGGGAAGGGGGAAACCACCAAACGUGCAAUUUUAGGAAUAUAAUCGUUUCGAACCAAGCCGGGCCCGAGAGAUCUUUCAAAUCACUGGGACCUUUUUUGUGUCUUCCUUUUGUAUCUUUUCCCCCUCAGAUCAACACCAAAAUUAACAAUGAAAAAUAUCUCCGGGCUCACACCGAAAUUGAGGUUCUGCUGUCCGGAUUUCUCAGAGACGUCUUGAUGAAACGUCCGGAGAAUAUCCGAGAAUUUGCAGCAGACUAUUUCACCAACCCGGAGCUGCCGAAAAAGAUCCAGCAACAGAUGAUGGAGAAGCUAAACCAGGCCACUUAAGGGCCUCCUGCUUUGAAAAUUUAAAUAAUCCCCCCCCCCUCCAAUUAUUAUAUUUCUUGGAAUCUCUUUCCUUUUCAUCAGUUGUUAAUAAACCCACAAAAUGCAUGAAAA